rnacentral:tRNA from 1 species
GCGAAGGUAGCUCAGUUGGUAGAGCAUCUGCUUGCCAUGCAGAAGGCCGCGAGUUCGAGUCUCGUUCUCCGCUCCA